UACGUAGGGCGCAAGCGUUGUCCGGAAUUAUUGGGCGUAAAGAGCUCGUAGGCGGUUUGUCGCGUCUGCUGUGAAAACGCGGGGCUCAACUCCGCGCCUGCAGUGGGUACGGGCAGACUAGGGUGCAGUAGGGGAGACUGGAAUUCCUGGUGUAGCGGUGGAAUGCGCAGAUAUCAGGAGGAACACCGGUGGCGAAGGCGGGUCUCUGGGCUGUAACUGACGCUGAGGAGCGAAAGCAUGGGGAGCGAACAGG
rnacentral:rRNA from 1 species